GAAUGAACGCUAGCUACAGGCUUAACACAUGCAAGUCGAGGGGCAGCAUGGUCUUAGCUUGCUAAGGCCGAUGGCGACCGGCGCACGGGUGAGUAACACGUAUCCAACCUGCCGUCUACUCUUGGACAGCCUUCUGAAAGGAAGAUUAAUACAAGAUGGCAUCAUGAGUCCACAUGUUCACAUGAUUAAAGGUAUUCCGGUAGAUGAUGGGGAUGCGUUCCAUUAGAUAGUAGGCGGGGUAACGGCCCACCUAGUCUUCGAUGGAUAGGGGUUCUGAGAGGAAGGUCCCCCACAUUGGAACUGAGACACGGUCCAAACUCCUACGGGAGGCAGCAGUGAGGAAUAUUGGUCAAUGGGCGAGAGCCUGAACCAGCCAAGUAGCGUGAAGGAUGACUGCCCUAUGGGUUGUAAACUUCUUUUAUAAAGGAAUAAAGUCGGGUAUGGAUACCCGUUUGCAUGUACUUUAUGAAUAAGGAUCGGCUAACUCCGUGCCAGCAGCCGCGGUAAUACGGAGGAUCCGAGCGUUAUCCGGAUUUAUUGGGUUUAAAGGGAGCGUAGAUGGAUGUUUAAGUCAGUUGUGAAAGUUUGCGGCUCAACCGUAAAAUUGCAGUUGAUACUGGAUAUCUUGAGUGCAGUUGAGGCAGGCGGAAUUCGUGGUGUAGCGGUGAAAUGCUUAGAUAUCACGAAGAACUCCGAUUGCGAAGGCAGCCUGCUAAGCUGCAACUGACAUUGAGGCUCGAAAGUGUGGGUAUCAAACAGGAUUAGAUACCCUGGUAGUCCACACGGUAAACGAUGAAUACUCGCUGUUUGCGAUAUACUGCAAGCGGCCAAGCGAAAGCGUUAAGUAUUCCACCUGGGGAGUACGCCGGCAACGGUGAAACUCAAAGGAAUUGACGGGGGCCCGCACAAGCGGAGGAACAUGUGGUUUAAUUCGAUGAUACGCGAGGAACCUUACCCGGGCUUAAAUUGCAGAUGAAUUACGGUGAAAGCCGUAAGCCGCAAGGCAUCUGUGAAGGUGCUGCAUGGUUGUCGUCAGCUCGUGCCGUGAGGUGUCGGCUUAAGUGCCAUAACGAGCGCAACCCUUGUUGUCAGUUACUAACAGGUUCCGCUGAGGACUCUGACAAGACUGCCAUCGUAAGAUGUGAGGAAGGUGGGGAUGACGUCAAAUCAGCACGGCCCUUACGUCCGGGGCUACACACGUGUUACAAUGGGGGGUACAGAGGGCCGCUACCACGCGAGUGGAUGCCAAUCCCCAAAACCUCUCUCAGUUCGGACUGGAGUCUGCAACCCGACUCCACGAAGCUGGAUUCGCUAGUAAUCGCGCAUCAGCCACGGCGCGGUGAAUACGUUCCCGGGCCU
rnacentral:rRNA from 1 species